GGUUAAGUCCGCAACGAGACGCAACCCCUACUUGUUAGUUGCCAUCAUUCAGUUGGGCACUCUAGCGAGACUGCCGGUAAUAAACCGGAGGAAGGUGGGGAGUGACGUCAAAUCAUCAUGCCCCUUAUGACCUGGGCUACACACGUGCUACAAUGGUUGGUACAACGAGUUGCGAGUCGGUGACGGCGAGCUAAUCUCUUAAAGCCAAUCUCAGUUCGGAUUGUAGGCUGCAACUCGCCUACAUGAAGUCGGAAUCGCUAGUAAUCGCGGAUCAGCAUGCCGCGGUGAAUACGUUCCCGGGCCUU
rnacentral:rRNA from 1 species